GUAAAUGCUAUGACGAAGAGGAGUACCACGAUGCAGACCUACAGAGAGGGAGCGCAGUGAAUGUUUAUUACACACUGCUGGAAGCGCUUCCGGAUAUCUGCUUUAUGGGAAGGUAGCUUUUGAGCAGCAUCGGUGAAAGAAGAUUAUCUCGUAUGAUACUGAUUUUUGAUUAGCUGAUGACGGAUUUGUUCCCGUUACAAGGACAGACAUGGUGAACGGAUAAUAUCCGCGCCGUGACAGAGCGGACUCAUUAUGGGUCAAUGAAGGUGGUACCGCGGUAAGAUUAAUCGCCCUUCGC
rnacentral:ncRNA from 1 species